rnacentral:rRNA from 1 species
AGCUCCAAUAGCGUAUAUUAAAGUUGUUGCGGUUAAAAAGCUCGUAGUUGGAUUUCUGCCAAGGACGACCGGUCCGCCCUCUGGGUGAGUAUCUGGCUCGGCCUGGGCAUCUUCUUGGAGAGCGUAGCUGCACUUGACUGUGUGGUGCGGUAUCCUAGACUUUUACUUUAAGGAAAUUAGAGUGUUUCAAGCAGGCACACGCCUUGAAUACACUAGCAUGGAAUAAUACAAUAGGACCUCGGUUCUAUUUUGUUGGUUUCUAGAGCUGAGGUAAUGAUUGAUAGGGAUAGUUGGGGGCAUUCGUAUUUAACUGUCAGAGGUGAAAUUCUUGGAUUUGUUAAAGACGAACUACUGCGAAAGCAUUUGCCAAGGAUGUUUUCA